UCCUCCAAGGCUAAAUACUCCUGACUGACCGAUAGUGAACCAGUACCGUGAGGGAAAGGCGAAAAGAACCCCGGCGAGGGGAGUGAAAAAGAACCUGAAACCGUGUACGUACAAGCAGUAGGAGCCCACUGGUUGGGUGACUGCGUACCUUUUGUAUAAUGGGUCAGCGACUUAUAUUCUGUAGCAAGGUUAACCGUAUAGGGGAGCCGCAGGGAAACCGAGUCUUAACUGGGCGUUAAGUUGCAGGGUAUAGACCCGAAA
rnacentral:rRNA from 1 species